GUUAUCAUCACAAGGUCUUUCCAGGGCUUGUAACGUGGUUGGGCUAAGAAGAACAUUGGUUUUUCUGGAUCACAAAAUCCUUGAGUUAAGAGAGUCAUUCACAAAUUUUUCAUUCAAGCACAAUCUCUCUUUAAACAAACCAAUCUCACUUUUCGAGACUUUCCCCUUUUUGCAUUGAGCUUUUCUUUCUUUUUCAUUCAUCUUUUCUUUUUGCUUUUCAUACUUGCUCAACACUUAGCUCAAUGCCUAUUUUCUUAAUUUUUCAAAUUUCCCAACAACCCCAAACUUGAACCUUUAUCAAUACCAUACAAAUAUUCUCAACUCAACUCAAGGUAAAGAUUUCAAAAGGGAUUUUUUUUUUUCAGAAAUUUAGGCUUAAGGU
rnacentral:lncRNA from 1 species